GAAGGAUCUCUUUUGGAGAUUGCUCCUCUUUGAGUCUUCUCAGUGAGCCUAGGACUAGGGUAAGUAUCAUCAGAAUCAUCUGCUGGAAAGAUCCUGGCUACUAAUUGCCUGAGACCACCCUGAGCAUGAUGCACUUCAAACUCAGCCAUCUCAUCCCUGAGCCUGAAUAUUUAAUGGUUGUCUUAUCAGUGUGCAGACUCUGGAAUUUCCUUUUUCUUUUUGAUGGGUAUCAGAGUGCAAAAGGUCCAGCUGAUAAAAUUCUCUAAUGAUCUAAAGGAGUGUCAGAGAUUCUGCCUGUAGCCCACUGCUUGGGAAUCCUUUGUCUAAGCAGACCUGCAUGAUGUGAAGCCCUGCAUUAUGUGCUGCUGGAAGGAGAGGAGAUCCUUGAUGUCCCAAAGGCUAUCAGAUGCUUCCCGUCGCUUGAACUGUUUUUCUAGUUCUGCUACUAAAUUAAUAUGCUGGACAGGUUGUGGAAAAACUCAUCCUUGGAGAAUUUCAAAAAGGCCCUAAGCAAUCUGAUCUGGUUUUGAUGUUAAAUGUGCCUUGAGCUGUAUGUUUGAAUGGAUAGCCUCCCAUGGCUACUUCAUACCUAAAUUACUCUAAGAUGACCUAUAUUAUUCUGUCAUUGGAUGAGUAAAAUCUCUUUGAACAAGAACUUUAAUUCUUCUGUAUUUAAGUAUUUAAGGAGGCAUAGGAAAGUUGAGGCCUGAUUGUCUCUAAGUGAAAGCACAGACCUUCAGUGCUGUAUUUGAAGCAAUUGUGAAUACUCCAAAACACACUGAUAUAAAUGUACCUAAUAUCAGAGAUUAUUUUGAUUUUGUUUUCUUUGUGGAUUUACCUUUACUUGUUGCAUAGUUGGUGCACAGAUCUUCAUUACAGAUGUUUUAUUUAAGUAGAAUUUUGGUGUAUUAAGUGAGUUUCCAACAGACCUUAAGUUUCAUAAUCUUUUUCAUAGGACAUUUAAACCAACUGCUCUGUAUGCCUCUUUUGGAGUUUGAAGAAAGAGUUCUAAACUUAUGUCUUCCAGUGUCAAUCUAAAAAGUAGUCUUUGGAAGAAAAACAACUGAUCAUUUGGCAGUGCGUAUGUAUAAUUAAAAAAAGAAAACCAAAAACACCAUGAAACAACCCACAACUGUUUUAAUACUCUCCUGAAACAAAUCACAAGAACUUUUGUGCUUUUUUGUUGAAAUAGCUUCAGGUUUUCACAAAACAGCAAAGUUAGAUCUUUUAUUAAGAAGUCUUAUCAAUAUUAACUUCCUUGUUCCUUUGAAACCUGGCUUCUUGGUGCACUUGCAAAAUAUUAAAGAAUGUAUGCAUGCAGACUACUAGAUCUUUUCCCACCAUGUUGUUGACUGUAAGGAAAUGUGGACUGCAUACGGCAUUACAUUUCUAGUAUCCUCACUCAAGCAAAAGGGAACAAAAUCUGUUAAUCAUUGGUUACAUAAAUAGAAUGAUAUAUGUGUAUUUAGGUGGUAUAUAAUAUGUGUUACAUAUGCAUUCCUGUGUAUAUCCUAUCUUUUUCCUAGUUUACUGUUUUCAGGCUGACUGAAACAGUAGUUUCCUUGAGAAAAGUACUUGUUUUUCUUCUUUUCAUCUAAUAUCUAAACAGUGAUCAGAUCCAGGUUCCACUGAAUUCAAUGAAGCAAUUUGGCCAACUUCAUUUAUCCUUUGUUAUAGGUUCUGAUGAUAUACUGACAAUAAUGUUUUAAAUGCUCACUUCCUAUUCAGUGAUGUUAAUUGUUUAUGGAACAGGUGUACUCUUAUUGAGUGGCUGCUCCCAGGUGGAGCAAUGCAAAAUGAAAGAGUAAUGCUGAAGUUUAGUGCAUGCUUGGUCACUUCAAGGUGGCACUGCUUUACUUUGUCUGUUAUACUACCAGUUAAAUUGCUUCUGGCUCUGACAUAUUUAAAUGUAGCAGCAGCCAUGUGUUCCAGUUCUUAUUACAUUGUACCACUACUAUUCCCUGUUCUCUGUUCUUUGAACAGGUAGCCUGUCAUCUUGCAUGCUAAUUUAAAAAUGAUAGCAAAAUCUCAAAGCAAGUGAGGGUAAAGACUUUCACAGUCACUGUUCAACACUGAUCAACACUGUUUUUUAAAACCUUUAUAGAUGUGGACGGAUCUGCAGAGAUUUUGUUGCACAGGUGACAAGAGCACUGGCACAGGCUGUCCAGAGGGGCUCUAGAUUCUAUUUCUUGGAGGUCUUUAGAGAUGCCUAGGUAUAGGCCUGUGUGCCCUGCUUGAGUGGUGGUUGGGCCAGAUGAGCUGAGAGGGUCCUGCCAACCUCAGUUGUUCUGGGAUUCUGUGACUGAAAAGACAUGGUGAGGAGGGGUUGUAAGGCUCAGAACAGUGGAUAGCUGAUCAUAGUGUACUUGGAGUUGAAUGACAAGAGAAUCACAGAAUGGCCUGGGUUAAAAAGGACCAUGAAAAUGAUCAUCUAGUUUCAAUUCCUAUGCUAUGGGCAAGGUCACCAACCACCAGACCAGGCUGCCCAGAGCCACAUCCAGCCUGGCCUUGAAUGCCUUCAGGGAUGGG